rnacentral:rRNA from 1 species
AGUGAACGCUGGCGGUAGGCCUAACACAUGCAAGUCGAACGGCAGCACAGUAAGAGCUUGCUCUUACGGGUGGCGAGUGGCGGACGGGUGAGGAAUACAUCGGAAUCUACUUUUUCGUGGGGGAUAACGUAGGUAAACUUACGCUAAUACCGCAUACGACCUACGGGUGAAAGCAGUGGAUCUUCGGACCUUUCGCGAUUGAAUGAGCCGAUGUCGGAUUAGCUAGUUGGCGGGGUAAAGGCCCACCAAGGCGACGAUCCGUAGCUGGUCUGAGAGGAUGAUCAGCCACACUGGAACUGAGACACGGUCCAGACUCCUAAGGGAGGCAGCAGUGGGGAAUAUGGGACAAUGGGCGCAAGCAUGAUCCAGCCAUACCGCGUGGGUGAAGAAGGCCUUCGGGUUGUAAAGCCCUUUUGUUGGGAAAGAAAAGCAGCAGGUUAAUACCCCGCUGUUCUGACGGUACCCAAAGAAUAAGCACCGGCUAACUUCGUG